ACAGGUAGAGGUCACUAUGUGUGACCCCGGCGAGAUGACACAGCACCGAGUGUUAUCUGGAAUCUAUGCGUGUAAACAAAGACAGGAUGUGACGUGCCUCACGUGUUGUUCCAGAGGACGAACAGAUUUACGAAGGGGGGCAUUGUGACAAAUGAACAGUGACAGAGGAUACUAGCAGUGUUUUUGCAAUAAUGGACAAACGAUUAGGGACUGUAUAUAAACCAGAGAGUUCAUGUGAAGGGAGGAGGACAGUCAUCGUUACUGUGGUCUACUGUGCGAGACAGUAGAAGAGAGUGGACUUGAGCCGUUACAGUCGAUACAGUCGAUGUAUGACGUAUACGCUACAUGUUGCAGUGAGGAAUUGUUA
rnacentral:sRNA from 1 species